AGAAAUGGGGGUUUGAAUUGGGUUACAAACAAUUUUUUUUCCAAAACAAGAACAUCACUAACAAGUUAAUAACAAAGAGAUAAAAACAAAGUAUUUUUAUCCUGGUUAUCUUGAAACUCAAAGCUACUUCAGUCCAUCCGCCAAAGUGAUUUUUCCUUAUACACAAGGACUUAAUCCACUAUAAUCAACAGAUUACAAUAAUCACAAAUAAUACCCUUAUUUGUCUUCUCUAGGAUCCAAUUAUACCCUAGUCUCCUUAAG
rnacentral:lncRNA from 1 species